CUCUCGUUUACAUUAUGUUAUUCGGUCCGGUGUGUGCCGCAAGUCUGUCUGUGUUGCGCCAUAGCCGAUACUGCUAACAGUCUACUUGCUAUACUUACUUACCAACAGUGAGCGUUAUACAAGCGGAAGGCAUUUUUCGAAGAGUGCCGAAUACCAGUCAAUUUCACACCCACGAGGUACUUUUAUCGCAUAACAGAUUACAGCCGACCGUCGAACUAAUGGAGCAUAUUGAAGCGAUUAUGAUUGAAAAAAUCGGCAGAGAUCGUUUCCAAAUAAACGUACGGUUGAAGUCCAACGAAUUUACUGGCGAUCGUGCUGAGAUGGCAGAGGCCUGCGUCCAAUCAUUGAUCGAAACUAUACAAAACUUUAACAGCCGCAGUACAAACGAUCAUUUUAGAAUCGAUGAAGUGGAAAUCCAUCGUAAUAGAUCUUCUAGGCGAUCCAGUCGUAGAGGAUAAUGGCCUGAGCCAGUAUGCACAAGAAAUCAAAAAGUCACGCUAGCACAACAUUCCAUAUUCAAGCACAAUUUUACCCCAACACUUAAUUCGUGAACGUAAUAUUCAAAAGUAUUUAAGUUCGGUCACUUUUAGUAUUAUGUUA